UACGUAGGGAGCAAGCGUUGUCCGGAAUCAUUGGGCGUAAAGCGCGCGUAGGCGGCCCUGUAAGUCCGCUGUGAAAGUCGGGGGCUCAACCCUCGGAUGCCGGUGGAUACUGUCGGGCUUGAGUACGGAAGAGGCGAGUGGAAUUCCUGGUGUAGCGGUGAAAUGCGCAGAUAUCAGGAGGAACACCAAUUGCGAAGGCAGCUCGCUGGGACGUUACUGACGCUGAGACGCGAAAGCGUGGGGAGCAAACAGG
rnacentral:rRNA from 1 species